rnacentral:rRNA from 1 species
UACGGAGGGUGCGAGCGUUGUCCGGAAUCACUGGGCGUAAAGGGCGCGUAGGCGGCGCGGGAAGUCAUCGGUGAAAGUUCAGGGCUCAACUCUGAAUCGGCCGGUGAUACGCUCGUGCUCGAGCACUGUAGAGGCAGGUGGAAUUCCGGGUGUAGCGGUGGAAUGCGUAGAGAUCCGGAAGAACACCGGUGGCGAAGGCGGCCUGCUGGGCAGUAGCUGACGCUGAUGCGCGACAGCGUGGGGAGCAAACAGG